rnacentral:rRNA from 1 species
ACCUGCCCUUGAAGUAGGGGAUAACACUUGGAAACAGGUGCUAAUACCGUAUAACAACCAACACCACCUGGUUUUGGUUUAAAAGAUGGCUUCGGCUAUCACUUUAGGAUGGACCCGCGGCGUAUUAGCUUGUUGGUAAGGUAACGGCCUACCAAGGCAAUGAUACGUAGCCGACCUGAGAGGGUAAUCGGCCACAUUGGGACUGAGACACGGCCCAAACUCCUACGGGAGGCAGCAGUAGGGAAUCUUCCACAAUGGACGAAAGUCUGAUGGAGCAACUCCGCGUGAGUGAUGAAGGGUUUCGGCUCGUAAAACUCUGUUGUUGGAGAAGAACAGGUGUGAGAGUAACUGUUCACAUCUUGACGGUAUCCAACCAGAAAGCCACGGCUAACUACGUGCCAGCAGCCGCGGUAAUACGUAGGUGGCAAGCGUUGUCCGGAUUUAUUGGGCGUAAAGCGAGCGCAGGCGGUUUCUUAGGUCUGAUGUGAAAGCCUUCGGCUUAACCGGAGAAGUGCAUCGGAAACCAGGAGACUUGAGUGCAGAAGAGGACAGUGGAACUCCAUGUGUAGCGGUGA